AGGCCACAAACUUAUCAAUCACCCCUGCUGUGGACACUUUCUGGAGGUCCAAGAUCCGUACGCUCCACGACCGCUGGACUAGGUGUGUAAAUGUAGGAGGGGACUGUGUUGCAAAAUAAAUGUACUUGGUUUUGUAAAACGGACUCCUUCGACCUUAGGCCAGGUACUUAUCAAUCACCCCUCGUAUAGGACACAAAAUCGAAAGAAUCCAGGCACAAUUCAAUUCAGGUCGGUUCCAGUUCGAUCCAGCUCUGUGACGUUCAUUAUGGGUAGGCCGGCCCAAUCAAAGUCGCCCGAAGUGACGACACAGAAUGUCAAAAUUUACUGUGAAACAGUCGAACACAAUGUUUUAUUCUGUUCGGAGAUACAGCACGGGGCCCGGUGAAUUCCCGCUACCCAGGUUUUGGACCCUGGCCUCACGUGGAGCAGGCGUGGAUCUCCCCGGGACCCCGGUUUCUCCCCACGCUCGCAAAGGUGGCGUUGGAGGGUUCCGGUCCAUGUACGUUUGUCCCGCGUACACGGAAACGUACGGUGAAAUGCGUGAACAGCCCGAGGCGAUGCUGGGGGGCAGCACGCAAGAGUCACCGCACAUUCCAGAACCGACACAGCACGCCCACGACGCUCGGCCGAACACAGAACACAACGAGGAAUAAAACAGAAGAAAUAACAAGCCCCAUUACCCAGGACAGCCUCCAGUGGAUGGUGUCAUUUACCUGGAGUGUGGAAAACGGCAGGAGGAUUGGGGAACUAAGAAUCACAGAACCCAACAGCACAGAAAGUGGCCCUUCAGCCCAUCUAGUCCCUGCCAAAUUCUGCCUGCUCCCAUCCACCUGCACCAGGACCGUAGCCCUCCAUACCCCUCCCAUCCCUGUACCCACCAAAACGUCUCUGAAAAGUUGAAAUCUACCUUUUUGUGGACCCAUCGCUUCCUGACUGAGCGAUCUUCAGGCCGCAGACUUACGGGACGUCUCACCCACACCAAGCCUUCAACUUGCCGUCUCCACCCACCUGCCCCGGCACCGUACCCCUCCCGCCAAUGUAACUGUCAAAUUUCUCCUAAUUGUUGAAAUCAAACCCAUGUCCACCACUUGUGCCGGCAGCUCGUUCCACACUCUCACCGCCCUCUGAGUGAAGAAGUUCCCCCUCAUGUUCCCCUUCAACCUCUCACCUUUCACCCUUAACCCAUGACCUCUGGUUGCCGUCCCAGCCACCCUUGGUGGAAAAGGCCUGCUUCCAUUUCUCCCUCACAAUUUUGAAUGCCUCCAUUGAAUCUCCCCUUAUUCUCCUAUGCUCAGGGAAGAAGAAGUCCUAACCAAUUCUAAACUUUCUCGAUUAUUCAGGUCCUCAAGACCCAGCAAUUUUCUUUGUACUCUUUCAAUCUUAUUGAUAUCUCUUCCUGUAGGUGGAGAUGUACUGUACGUAGUCGAUGAGAAGGGAGAAUCUGUUACAGAGAAGCAAGCUGGAAUGAAUGAGAUUGAAAGGCCUAGAUAGAGUGGACAUAGAGAGGAUGUUUCCUACAGUGGGGGAGUCUAGGACCAGAGGACACAGAUAGAUUGGAUGUGGAGAGGAUGUUUCUUAUAGUGGGGGAGUUUAGGACCAGAGGGCACAGAUAGAGUGGAUGCAGAGAGGAUGUUUCCUAUAGUGGGGGAGUCUAGGACCAGAGGACACAGAUAGAGUGGACGUAGAGAGGAUGUUUCCUGUGGUGGGGGAGUCUGGGACCAGAGGGCACAGAUAGAGUGGAUGUGGAGAGGAUGUUUCCUAUAGUGGAGGAGUCUAGGACCAGAGGGUACAACCUCCGAAUAGAAGGACGUCCUUUUAGAACAGAGAUGAGGAGGAAUUUCUUUACCAGAGAGUGGUGGAUCUGUGGAAUUCGUUGCCACAGACGGCUGUGGAGGCCCAGUCAUUGGGUAUAUUUCAAAGUGGAGGUGGACAGCUUCUUGAUUCGUAAGGGUGUCAUUGGUUACGGGGUUUGCGGGUGGGGGAAAGCAGAAGAAUGGGGUUGAGAGGGAAAAUUAGUCAGCCAUGACAGCAUGCCAGAGCAGUAUCAGUGGGCCAAAUGUCUUAUUGACCUACUUAACCCUUCCCUUACUUCUGUGCAUUGUGAUCGCUAAUCAUCGGCUUCAAAGCCCGAGGGUUUAAGGAAUGGGCUCGCGGACAGGGAGGAUUGAUUUCCAGUGACUGAGCCAUUUUCCUUCCGCGUUCACUCUGAAAGACCAGCCUGGGCUGCUGGGCUCCGUGCCCGCUAAUGCGAUGAACUGCUCACCCAGGCUUCGGGGCCUACUCCAGGGGAUCGGAUCUGAGGACUCGAUUCUGGCUCGGGAUGCUGCUAUUCGCUUCAGUUGUUGCAAGAUCUGUAUUUUUUUUUACUUUCUCCUACGAGUAUUGGUCUUUCAUUUUUAAUUUGAAUUUUUUCUCUUUAGUCGGGCUCUUUCGGGUUGCUUGCUUUGCAGCUACCUGCGAGCGAGCAAAUCUCAAGGGUUGUACAUUCAGUGGUAAUAAAUGAAUCUUGGAAUCC